AAGUGCAUAUACAAAACCCAGAACUCACAACAAACAACACUUGAUGGAAUUUGGAAAGACUAAAGGCUACAUUACUACCUACCAGCAAAUAGUCUUCCCAACCAUAAAUUUAACCUGACCAUCUGGAUGUGUGGAUCACGCCCAGGAGCAUAACGAACCACAACGCAUGAAAACAGACUGGAGCUGUGAUUUGUUGGUCUGCAGAUACGAGAAAUCCUGCACAAAGUUAAGCACCAGCAUAGUAAAUAUAAUACAGAGAAACUAUACUAAAUCCACCAUGAACACAUUGCAUCCAUGCUGAAAGUUAAGUUCAAUGUCUUUUUGAUAUCAAGACUUGGCUAAAUAUCAAAACUUGGCUAAGGUCCAUAUAUACAGUAAUACAGAUCAAAUCAAUAGUCCCUUUUUGAUGUGAGG
rnacentral:misc_RNA from 1 species